rnacentral:rRNA from 1 species
AUUGAACGCUGGCGGUAUGCCUUACACAUGCAAGUCGAACGGUAGAGGGGCAACCCUCGAGAGUGGCGAACGGGUGAGUAAUACAUCGGAACGUGCCCAGUCGUGGGGGAUAACGUAGCGAAAGCUACGCUAAUACCGCAUACGACCCGAGGGUGAAAGCGGGGGACCUGCAAGGGCCUCGCGCGAUUGGAGCGGCCGAUGGUAGAUUAGGUAGUUGGUGGGGUAAAGGCCCACCAAGCCUGCGAUCUGUAGCUGGUCUGAGAGGACGACCAGCCAAACGGGGACGUGGACACGGCCCAGACUCCUACGGGAGGCAGCAGUGGGGAAUUUUGGACAAUGGGCGAAAGCCUGAUCCAGCCAUACCGCGUGCGGGAAGAAGGCCUUCGGGUUGUAAACCGCUUUUGUCAGGGAAGAAAUCUUCCGGGUUAAUACCUCGGGGGGAUGACGGUACCUGAAGAAUAAGCACCGGCUACUACGUGCCAGCCGCCGCCGUAACAC